GCUUGUCUCAAAGAUUAAGCCAUGCAUGUCUAAGUAUAAGCCUUUAUAUGGUGAGACUGCGAAUGGCUCAUUAAAUCAGAAACUGUUUAUUUGAUAGUGCCUACUACAUGGAUACCUGUAGUAAUUCUAGAGCUAAUACAUGCAAAAAGCCUGGACUUCUGGAACAGGCGUAUUUAUUAGAUAAAAAACCAAUGCCCUUCGGGGCUCUUUGGUGAUUCAUGAUAACUUCUCAGAUCGCACGGCCUUGCGCCGGCGACGGUUCAUUCAAAUUUCUGCCCUAUCAACUUUCGAUGGUACGGUAUUGGCCUACCAUGGUUUCAACGGGUAACAGGGAAUUAGGGUUCGAUUCUGGAGAGCGAGCCUGAGAGACGGCUAGCACAUCCAAGGAAGGCAGCAGG
rnacentral:rRNA from 1 species